ACUAUAUAGUGAAAAAAUCAAAAUCAGGAUAUAAAUAUAAUAUUAAGACAACAAAAGGACCAGUAGUGAGUAUGUAUAUAAUAUAUGUGAACUCAGGGUGGGGGGGUAUAUGUAUAUGAAGAAGAGUUAAAUCCUCAUCAUCCAGGGUGGCUAAUCAAUAGUUAACAGCCAACAUUGUGGUGGCUGUGGUUUAGGCCAGCAGCUGCAGCUCUGAUUCAACCCCAGGCCUAGAACUUUCAUAUGCCACAGGUACAGCCCUAAAAAAGAAAAAAGAAAGAAAGAAAAGAAAAGAUAAUGGCUAAAACUUAAAAAUAAAAAAGCUAGGAGCUCUCUUAUAGCAGGUUGAGGAUUCGGCAUUGUCACUGCAGCAGCUGGGAUCACUAUUAUGGGGCAGACUCAAUCUCCUGCCCAGGAACAUGCUGCAGGUGUGGCCAAAAAAAAAAAAGAAAAAAAAAGAGAGGCUAUACUAGCAUAUAAUUUAAAUAUAUGGAGUUAACAGAAUAAUCAAAUGGAAAUUCAAAGUGAUUUAGUUGCCUUUGAGAGUGGAAAACUAAGGGGUAAGGGAAAUCAGACAUGUGAGUUUUUUCUUUUUUCUUUUUUUUCUUUUUUUGGUCUUUUUGCCUUUUUAGGGCCGAACCCAUGGCAUGUGGCCCUAGAAAUGACAAAACAAACAAACAAAAAAAGUACAAAAAUGGGGAUGGGGAGAUUUCUAAAUAUGAAUGAAAAGCAUAUUCCCUACAUCCAAAUGUUAUUGUAAAUAAACAAUAGGCAGCCAUCUAGUAUAAAACUGUAACAUCGUCAGCUAGAAUCUCUGAGACUGGGGCACUGUUUACAGAAGGAAUAAGUCUUUAGUUCCAUCCCUACCAAUGGAUAAGACUGAAACUACUGCACUACCAAAACCUGAAAUGUAGUAUAACAAAGAUGGGUCCUAACUAUCUAUGCUUCCACCAAACUGUAGCCUUCCUCUAACCUACACUGUAAGUCUAUAUGACAAGCCCUGAAUCCUGUUAGAACAGGAGUCUUGUCCUGAACAUCAAGCCUUUAGUUCAGGUCCUGCUCCAAUCUGAACCAACCAUCAGGGGACCACAAUGCUAAUAUCUGUCCACCCAAAUAACUACCUAGAGGUUUCCUGCUGAAAUGCUCUGACUACCAUUUUGGAUUCCAACCCUCUGAAGCCCAAGCCAGAUCGGGCAUAUAUCUGCUCUGUCCCCUAUCCCCAAACAUGAAUUUUAGGCCAGUGGUUUUCAAGCCUUUAGAAGAGUUUAUACUCUUAAAAGUACUAAAGAUCCAAAGAGCUUUAGUUAAUUUAUUCACUACCUUAGAAAGUAAACUUAAAAACUUUUAAA
rnacentral:lncRNA from 1 species